rnacentral:rRNA from 1 species
GAACUUUUCGGUCCUCGCGAUGCAUCCAAGAUGUUUAAUGAUCAUGGCUCAGGAUGACCGCUGGCGUAGAUGCCUAAUACAUGCAAGUCGAGCGAAUGGAUUAAGAGCUUGCUCUUAUGAAGUUAGCGGCGGACGGGUGAGUAACACGUGGGUAACCUGCCCAUAAGACUGGGAUAACUCCGGGAAACCGGGGCUAAUACCGGAUAACAUUUUGAACCGCAUGGUUCGAAAUUGAAAGGCGGCUUCGGCUGUCACUUAUGGAUGGACCCGCGUCGCAUUAGCUAGUUGGUGAGGUAACGGCUCACCAAGGCAACGAUGCGUAGCCGACCUGAGAGGGUGAUCGGCCACACUGGGACUGAGACACGGCCCAGACUCCUACGGGAGGCAGCAGUAGGGAAUCUUCCGCAAUGGACGAAAGUCUGACGGAACAACGCCGCGUGAGUGAUGAAGGCUUUCGGGUCGUAAAACUCUGUUGUUAGGGAAGAACAAGUGCUAGUUGAAUAAGCUGGCACCUUGACGGUACCUAACCAGAAAGCCACGGCUAACUACGUGCCAGCAGCCGCGGUAAUACGUAGGUGGCAAGCGUUAUCCGGAAUUUAUUUGGGCGUUAAAAGCGCGCCGCCAAGGCGGGGCUNCUUAAAGGUCUUGCUUGUUGAAAGCCCCCACGGGUUCAACCGGUUGCAGGGGUCCUUUGGGCACAACUGGGGANAACUUNANGUUNGCCGCAANCAGGGGACACGUUGGGCANUUCCCUGGUUUUUCGCGGUGAAAUUGUCUUUGAGCUUUUGGGGCAACCCCGUUGGGGCCAAGGCGGACUUNUCGGGUUCGUCUACCUCGUACCCUCUANCGUGCCCGCACANCGUGGUGCACNCAGAGUUGUUCUCUUGCGUUCGUUUNCCACCUCAGUGUUGUCGUGGUGNUCGCCUUGUGGG